UUUUAUUCUUACCUGAGGAACUUUGUGGUUGAAACGCGUUGUGUUUUCAAAUAAAAGUUUGGUGUGACGGGCUAAUCGUGUUUUUGUUCCCUUUCCAUACCAAGCUCCAAGAAGAAGAACCAAGAAGAAGAAAAAAAAUGGCUCUUGAAGCUUUCUAUAGCAUCUUCUUACUGCAGUAAUCAUUUGAAUCAUACGUGUUUCAGGAUCACGUAGUUAAAAUUUCCCAUCAGUUUGUAAGUGGGUGGGUAAUUGGUGCAAGCUUUCCAUCAGAAUCGGAUCGAGUUGAGAGAACAGAAACCAAUCGCUUCUGCGAUUAAUCGAAAACUCGAACUACUACUCCACAAUGUUAACCUAUUCGCAACUUGUGUAACACUUGCUGUUACAAAUAAAUUAAUGAUUGCCUUCGUGCAAGGAAGAAGUUAGAAGAUGUCAGUCGACGCUCCUUGUCCACAGAGAGGUCUUGGAUUUCAAGCAUUUAGCGCUAUAGUUCACUAU